AACCAUGAUGUGGACAAAAAUUUAUGAGAUCUUUGAACCUUUCCCAGCAUUAGAAGAAGGUCUCUUCCUCUUUCUGUGCAAAUUCAUGAUUGCUUUCCUUAGAGU